rnacentral:rRNA from 1 species
GCCGCGGUAAUACGGAGGGUGCAAGCGUUGUUCGGAAUUAUUGGGCGUAAAGCGCGCGCAGGCGGUCCUUUAAGUCUUGUGUUUAAGCCCGAGGCUCAACCUCGGUACGCAUGGGAAACUGGGGGACUGGAGUGCAGGAGAGGAAAGUGGAAUUCCACGUGUAGCGGUGAUAUGCGUAGAGAUGUGGAGGAACACCAGUGGCGAAGGCGACUUUCUGGCCUGUAACUGACGCUGAGGCGCGAAAGCGUGGGGAGCAAACAGG